CCGCCGGCGACCGGCGCACGGGUGAGUAACACGUAUGCAACCUGGCCGUGACAGAUGGAUAACCGGGAGAAAUCCCGCCUAAUACAACAUAAUGCCGGGAGGGGACAUCCCCUGCCGGCCAAAGGGGGCGACCCCGGUCACGGAUGGGCAUGCGGUGCAUUAGGUAGUUGGUGGGGCAACGGCCCACCAAGCCGACGAUGCGUAGGGGUUCUGAGAGGAAGGUCCCCCACAUUGGAACUGAGACACGGUCCAAACUCCUACGGAAGGCAGCAG
rnacentral:rRNA from 1 species